rnacentral:miRNA from 1 species
AUGCAGCAUCAUCAGGAUUC